AUUGAACGCUGGCGGCAGGCCUAACACAUGCAAGUCGAACGGUAACAGGAAGAAGCUUGCUUCUUUGCUGACGAGUGGCGGACGGGUGAGUAAUGUCUGGGAAACUGCCUGAUGGAGGGGGAUAACUACUGGAAACGGUAGCUAAUACCGCAUAACGUCGCAAGACCAAAGAGGGGGACCUUCGGGCCUCUUGCCAUCGGAUGUGCCCAGAUGGGAUUAGCUAGUAGGUGGGGUAACGGCUCACCUAGGCGACGAGCCCUAGCUGGUCUGAGAGGAUGACCAGCCACACAGGAACUGAGACACGGUCCAGACUCCUACGGGAGGCAGCAGUGGGGAAUAUUGCGCAAUGGGCGCAAGCCUGAUGCAGCCAUGCCGCGUGAAUGAAGAAGGCCUUCGGGUUGUAAAGUACUUUCAGCGGGGAGGAAGAGAGUAAAUUUAAUACCUUUGCGUAUUGACGUUACCCACAGAAGAAGCACCGGCUAACUCCGUG
rnacentral:rRNA from 1 species